CAACCUUACCACUUCUUGCAUAUUAUCUUUAAUUUAUAGAUAAAUACAGGUGUUGCAUGGCUGUCUUUAGUUCGUGUUGUGAAAUGUGUGGUUGAUUCCGUCAACGAACGAAAACCUUAUCUUUAAUUUGAUAUACUUAAAGAAAUAUCUUUCGAUAAGAAAGAGUAAUUAGGAUUAAGACAAGUCCUCAUGACCCUUAUGAAGUGGGCUACAGACGUGCUAUAAAAAUUCCUACAAUAGGAUGCAAAGAUGAAAAUCUGAGCUAAUCCCUGAAAAGGAAU
rnacentral:rRNA from 1 species